CAAUUCUAUUGGAGUUUAAGGGACAAUGUGAAGGAUUUACUGUUAACUCUUCUUGAUCCGCAAACGCUCAAUGAAGCUAUUAGUCAAGCUGUGAAGUGCGAUAACCGCCUAUUCCAACGCUGCCCAGACCAACGUUCAAGACAACAUAUGGUUCGCUACGCUCCAACUAUGUUGGCAAGCAACGUGAAUUCACAUUCAGAGGUAGAAGACAUGCAAAUUAAUGCGGUACGUGUCAAAUCCCUUACUCUAGAAAAAAAAAAAAGCGACGUAUGGAGGAAGGUCUAUGCUUGUAUUGCGGUGAAGAAGGCCACAAAGUUGAAAACUACUCCAAGAAACAAAAUUGACGUAUUUUCAGGACUAGGGGCGCGUUUAUUUAGGAAAACGAGGAUGCCUAGCCACAAUAGGAACUGUGCGGCUGGAUAGUGAAAUAUCGCAACAACAACCAGGUUCCUUUCCUUCCACUCAACCUGCCCUUUGUUUUACAAUCCCUUUGUUUAUUGGCCCUCAGAAAUUGAGAACGUGAGCAUUAUUAGAUUCAGGAGCAUCUGCUUGUUUCUUAGACGAAGAAUUUGCAAAGUGUCAUAAGAUCCCUUUAGUACAAAAAUCCAAACCUGUUCACGUUGAGGUCAUAGAUGGGUGACCUUUAUUG
rnacentral:lncRNA from 1 species